rnacentral:rRNA from 1 species
GACGAACGCUGGCGGCGUGCUUAACACAUGCAAGUCGAACGGAAAGGCCCUGCUUUUGUGGGGUGCUCGAGUGGCGAACGGGUGAGUAACACGUGAGUAACCUGCCCUUGACUUUGGGAUAACUUCAGGAAACUGGGGCUAAUACCGGAUAGGAGCUCCUGCUGCAUGGUGGGGGUUGGAAAGUUUCGGCGGUUGGGGAUGGACUCGCGGCUUAUCAGCUUGUUGGUGGGGUAGUGGCUUACCAAGGCUUUGACGGGUAGCCGGCCUGAGAGGGUGGCCGGCCACAUUGGGACUGAGAUACGGCCCAGACUCCUACGGGAGGCAGCAGUGGGGAAUAUUGCACAAUGGGCGGAAGCCUGAUGCAGCAACGCCGCGUGCGGGAGGACGGCCUUCGGGUUGUAAACCGCUUUCGCCUGUGACGAAGCGUGAGUGACGGUAAUGGGUAAAGAAGCACCGGCUAACUACGU